AGUGAACGCUGGCGGUAGGCCUAACACAUGCAAGUCGAACGGCAGCACAGGAGAGCUUGCUCUCUGGGUGGCGAGUGGCGGACGGGUGAGGAAUACAUCGGAAUCUACUCUGUCGUGGGGGAUAACGUAGGGAAACUUACGCUAAUACCACAUACGACCUACGGGUGAAAGCAGGGGAUCUUCGGACCUUGCGCGAUUGAAUGAGCCGAUGUCGGAUUAGCUAGUUGGCGGGGUAAAGGCACACCAAGGCGACGAUCCGUAGCUGGUCUGAGGGGAUGAUCAGCCACACUGGAACUGAGACACGGUCCAGACUCCUACGGGGGGCAGCAGUGGGGAAUAUUGGACAAUGGGCGCAAGCCUGAUCCAGCCAUACCGCGUGGGUGAAGAAGGCCUUCGGGUUGUAAAGCCCUUUUGUUGGGAAAGAAAUCCAGCUGGCUAAUACCCGGUUGGGAUGACGGUACCCAAAGAAUAAGCACCGGCUAACUUCGUGCCAGCCGCCGCGGUAA
rnacentral:rRNA from 1 species